rnacentral:tRNA from 1 species
AGGUAUUUAGUCUAAAAACAAGACCACUAAUUUCGGCUUAGUAAACUAUGGUGAAAAUCCAUAAAUACCUU